rnacentral:rRNA from 1 species
GCUGGCGGCGUGCCUAAUACAUGCAAGUCGAGCGAACAGAGAAGGAGCUUGCUCCUUUGACGUUAGCGGCGGACGGGUGAGUAACACGUGGGCAACCUACCUUAUAGUUUGGGAUAACUCCGGGAAACCGGGGCUAAUACCGAAUAAUCUAUUUUACUUCAUGGUGAAAUACUGAAAGACGGUUUCGGCUGUCGCUAUAAGAUGGGCCCGCGGCGCAUUAGCUAGUUGGUGAGGUAACGGCUCACCAAGGCGACGAUGCGUAGCCGACCUGAGAGGGUGAUCGGCCACACUGGGACUGAGACACGGCCCAGACUCCUACGGGAGGCAGCAGUAGGGAAUCUUCCACAAUGGGCGAAAGCCUGAUGGAGCAACGCCGCGUGAGUGAAGAAGGUUUUCGGAUCGUAAAACUCUGUUGUAAGGGAAGAACAAGUACAGUAGUAACUGGCUGUACCUUGACGGUACCUUAUUAGAAAGCCACGGCUAACUACGUGCCAGCAGCCGCGGUAAUACGUAGGUGGCAAGCGUUGUCCGGAAUUAUUGGGCGUAAAGCGCGCGCAGGCGGUCCUUUAAGUCUGUGUGAAAGCCCACGGCUCAACCGUGGAGGGUCAUUGGAAACUGGGGGACUUGA